GCCUACGGGACGCAGCAGUGGGGAAUAUUGCACAAUGGGGGAAACCCUGAUGCAGCGACGCCGCGUGAGUGAAGAAGUAUUUCGGUAUGUAAAGCUCUAUCAGCAGGGAAGAAAAUGACGGUACCUGACUAAGAAGCCCCGGCUAACUACGUGCCAGCAGCCGCGGUAAUACGUAGGGGGCAAGCGUUAUCCGGAUUUACUGGGUGUAAGGGGAGCGUAGACGGAAAGGCAAGUCAGAAGUGAAAACCCAAGGCUCAACCAUGGGACUGCUUUUGAAACUGUCAACCUAGAGUACGGGAGAGGUA
rnacentral:rRNA from 1 species